GAAGAGACAAAAAACAGGCUUUAACAGAUGUGCAUGCAUACACAAUACUCUGUCCUUGGAGCCUGUUCUUUUCACUUAAUAGUUUGCGCAAGAGAUCAUCCCAGAGUGUAGAGAGAUGCCUUGUUCUCUUUUUAACACCCUAGUGUUCACUGAGUGGGUAUAUUAUCAUGGAACUCAUUGUCCUCUAAUGAGUAUUUCGCUUGUUUCCAAUCUCCCACUAUUACAAAGAAAAAAAAAAAGCUACAGUAAAUAUCCUUGUGCUGAUAUCAACUUGUACAUAUCCAAAAGUCCUUGUAGGAUAAGUUCUUAGGAGGGAGCUUUCAGGCCAAAAGGCAUGUGCAUUUUAAAAUAUUUGAUAGUGGCUGUACCAGUUUACACUCCCACCAGUACUGUAUGAUAGUGUUUGUCUCCCACACCCACGCCAACACAGUAUUAGUGAGGGUUUGGAUCAUUGCCAAUCUGAUACGUGAAAAAUAGCAUUGGGCUGUAGUUUCAAUGUGCAUUUCUAUUUUGAAUGAGAUUAAACAUCUUUUCAUAAGCUUAAGAGUCAUUUGUGUUUCCUGUUCUGUGGACUAUCUGUUCAUAUUCUUGCUCAUUUUCCUAUCACAGUUUUAUUUGUCUUAUUGAUUUACAGGAACUCUUUACAUAUUCAGGAAAUUUGAGUCUUGAGCAACAUGGCUCAAGGAUGGAAGCAGAAGUGCAUUCAUUCUAAAGGCUGUCCAUGAAUUCUGUUCCAUAAAUCUCAUAGCCAGACUAAUACUUUCCAAUGCCUGGUUCUUCACUUAUUUUUUUGCUUCUAUAAGCUGACUUAUAUCCUCCCAAUACAUUCCUUGCUUUUUUGUUUGGGCUUAACUUACCAGAGUGGAUUUCAGUGAUUUAAGGAAAUUUGAUGUAUAUGCCCUCUCCAUCAGGUCAAGGUUUCAGGGGGAAGAGUGUCAGUUGGAAUCUCCCUUCUCCACCCAGGACUCUCUGCCUUCAAUGCAGCAUGUCUCACUGUAGGUCCAAGGCAGCUGGGGACCCUACCGUGCAUUUGCAGGCUCUUCUUCCCUGUCCUUAUGUCUAGGCCAUGGGUCCUGCGUCCUUCACUCAGAAGGUGAUGGCACUGAUUGAUCUAAAGAGAGUUUGCCUGUACUUCUGGCUCUGGGAAUACAAACAGCAGAUCUCCCUUGACAAUUAUGUCUGGAGACCGGCACUUCCAUGGGCAAAGACAUGGUGCAGAGCAGACGGUUGCCAGGUUGUGCUCUGAGUUAGGGGCACCCACGGGCCUGCAACUCUCGUUCCAGAUCACUGUGGAGUGUUUGUUCAUUCCUUCAGCAAACAUUCCUGAAUGGCUGGGUACUAAGCACACAGACAGGGCCACUCAACCAGUGAACACCUAACCUCAUCUGAAAUACAGGGGACAAGGAGGCCACGGGGAGAGGGUCCCAGUGCAAAGGGGUGUUGGUCAGGAGACUGUUCCCUGAGCCAGACCAGGGAAGAACAGAAACAACAGGACAAAGUGGAUGCUAGGCAAUGGGAAUGGCAUGCAAAGGGCCUUGAAGCUAGAGGUACAGGGAAGUGCUGGAAGCCAGCCGGACCUGAGUUGAGUGCGGGCGUAGAGUCAGGCUGCGUGAGGCUGAACGUAGGUAGGAUCCAACUCUCAUUCAGCUUAGGCCGUGGCUGCCUGCAUUGACUACAGAGACUGGCUCUUAUUUUGACUAUUCCUGGGGAUGCUUGGGUGUCCCUUUAAAGUUUUACCUGAGUAUGUUGUCAUGAUGAGGGAUGAGAGGAAGAGGUAGGACUUGCAGCAACUGCCACUCCUCAGAUGGCCUCAGAAAGGGCCUUAAAAAUUGUAGCAGAAGCUGCCAUUAAACCCAUCCCAGACUGCACCCAGGAAGUGCUUUCUCAGUGACACACUGCACCCCGGGGGAGCUUCAGAAUUAAUCCCAUCAUCCCCAACCCUGGAGCCACCUAUGUCUGGUGGGAGUUGGUAGGUCAGUACCUUUGCUGGCUGACUGUGGGACUGGGUUAACUCUGGGGGAGUUCUGGAGGGGAGGGAAGCCCAGGUACCCAGAGUGGAGGCCUGCUCUGCAAGGCCGCCCAUCUGGGCUCUUUCUCUGCCCUGUCUCACAUCACCACGCACCUAUGGAUGUUUUUUCUGGAUCACCUCCACCAAAGCCACCUGCACUCAGAAUCUUGUCUUUGGGUGGGAGACCUAAGGCAGAGCUCUUACAAGAGACCUCAUGCUUCCCUGCUCCUGUACCCUAGCCAUUGGGUGUAAUUUGGGAUUCCUGCCCAUUUCCGGGACCGAACCCCAUCCCCGCCCAUGCAAAAGGCUGGGAUCCCAUCCUUGCCACUCAAUUCAUUGCUGAGCGCAAGCAGAGCACCUACAAGUGGGAGGCACCUGGUAGAUGUUUUUGGGGUGUGGGUCACACAGAGAAGGCCAAGGAUGCAGAGAGAUGGUGGCCAGGUCUCCUGGGGCCAGAAUCUAAAAUAUUUUACCAGGUAACUGGGCCACAGGUGUCAGCAUGGGCUGUUUUGCAGGGCUCCAUGCUGUCCACAGUGAUCCUGCCCAACUGGCUGGGGAACUUGUCUGGCUGGGUGCAAGGCCCCUGGGACCCUGGUCCACUCCUUCAGGGGCAGGUGGCUCUGGCAGGGCCACGGAGGCAUUCUCGGUCCCCGGUGCCUCCCCGGACAGGGCCCACUUUGGAUCUGCCCCAGUGCCAUACCCUGGCUCAGUCAUUAGCUCUUCUAAAAACCUAGAAGGGACUCCAGAAUCUGUUUCUCAUCCCUGAACACUUGCAGUGUUCCACUUCUAGCCAGGCCCAAGCAGGGGACAGGCCGUGGGGCUCUGAUGCCUGAUCGGAUGGCGCUUUGGCCCAGGGGGGAGCUGGGCAUGGAGCCAGUGUUCCCAUCCUCAAAGCCUUAAGUGGCAGGCAGGGAACAAGCAGGCAUCUCUGAGGGCCAAGGGCAGACAGGCAGGUUUAGGGACCAGGUGGGGAAGGUGGCUCAGAGAGAGUGACCUGCGGACACCAGUUCAAGCAGGAGACAGCAAGUGUGAAGGCCCCAGGGCAGGAAAUAGCAGAUAUUUUGAAACUCCAAAGGGGAGGCUGGCGGGGGAGAGAAAUGAGGCAGUAGCGGGAGGCAGGGCUGAACUAUAGGGCCAGGAAGCCGUGGGGGCCAACCAAGUGUCAUUCUGGGUAUGUGGCAAAGCCACCUGUGGAGGUGUCAAGCAGGGGGAAUGGCCAGAACUGAAUUUGUGCUUCCAGUAGACUCCUAUGCACACAGGACCUGGGAGCCGAACCAGAUGAAAGUAGCCUGGUAGCCGGGCUGUACGUACAUCCUUUUUUACCACCCAUCCCUGGCCACAGGAAACGGGGUCUUGGAGGGGAAGGGGAUGGCCCAGGGUCCCCCAGACAGUGUCUGGACAAAUCCGGCUGACGCUACAGUGUGCUUCCCCUCCACACACACACACCUGGAUGUGGUUGCUAGGGCACCCCUCCUGUCCACCAGAAUGUUUGAUCCCUCUGGAAGGAAGAUUGAGGAGGAGGUGGGGUGAAAGGAAAGGAAGGGAGAGGGUAUACCCAGUCUGCCUGGCAGUCCUGUGUUGGUGGGACGGGGCAGGCCCAGCUCCGGGCAAGAGGCCUGAUGGACCUGUGUUCGCAGAGGUUUUUAUCUGUUUAAUGUGCUCAUCUCUCUGGCCAGGAGACAGGACAGUGAACUGAGGACCAGAAUUAGGAGGCAAAUGAAAAAGUGAAGUCGGAUCUCGCCCUCCACUUAUCAGCUCCUCAUGGCCCCAUCUCCACCCAGGAGGCCCAGUGUGACCUGACCUCGAAUCUGACACCUGCUACUCUGACCUCACCUCCUCCUGCUUAACCUCUCUAGCCUUCAGCCUCCUAACUUAGAAGGAGAAGUUCCUUAGUGAUCCUUCCAGCAAGUCUGGGUGAGCAGGGGUAAAGCCCAGCCUGCUGGCUCCUUGCUCUGUCGACCCCAGCUGGUGCUUCCCACUGAAACCCCAUCACCACCAGCCUCCAAGGCUGUGACCGGCACUUCCGAGGGGCCGUGUCCCCCAACGUGAGCCCCAGCUGGUCUGGUUCUCACUCUUUCCUAGGGAGCAGGUUGAGAAAAAAGGGUCCCUUGCGCUAAAAAAUCACUCAUCACCUCAAGCGAGACCCUGUCCCCUCUGGGUGAGGGGAGAUAUUGAGGAAGGAGAUGAGAGUCCUGUCUAGCUUUGAGAGCUGGCAACUUGGGGAGGCAAAGACACAUUCCCAGAAUCCCCUGGAGUCCUGAGAACACCCACACCCCUUGUCCCAGCAAUCCUGAGAAAGGCCAAGCUGAUAAGGCUGUGGGUGGCCCGAUGACAACAUUCUUGGGACUUGGAUGAAGUGGGAGGGGCCCACCCAUUCAGCUGCACAUAAUUUGGGGCAACGGGGACAGGAACCAUUUGGGCCACAGGCAGCCAGCAUGUCUGCCCUUCCGGGCAUUUCAGGGAUGCCACCGAACCCCAGGCCACGGCAGGGAGCCACACAGUCAUCUCGCAAGUUUUUGAGGAAAGAAUGCCAGUCGUGUGGGAGGGGAGACUUGGGUCUGCCUCCCUCCCACCCCCAUCUUGGCUCCCUCUGAGGCUCAUUCCUGAGAAACCCUCUAGUACCUUCUUCCAGGCUGGGGGUGGGGCAGAGCUGGGGAUGAGCAAGACCACUCCCCUCCUCACCACCUCCAGCCCACAGGAGAAUCUGAAAUAGCCUCUCUUCCGGGCCCAGGGCUGCAUUUCAGCCACCACACCUAAAAUUCCACCAUCACCGCACAGUCCUUGAUAGUUAAGGCGUCACCUUGGGUGAAAAAGGUCGAUUUCUCUGCUGGGACAUAGAAGCAGCAUAAAAUCCAAACAGGCAGGGAUCCCUGGGUGGCGCAGCGGUUUGGUGCCUGCCUUUGGCCCAGGGCACGAUCCUGGAGACCCGGGAUCGAAUCCCACGUCAGGCUCCCUGCAUGGAGCCUGCUUCUCCCUCUGCCUGUGUCUCUGCCUCUCUCUCUCUCUCAGUCUGUGACUAUGAUGAAUAAAAAAAAAAAAAAAAAAAA
rnacentral:lncRNA from 1 species